rnacentral:rRNA from 1 species
UACGAAGGGGGGCUAGCGUUGUUCGGAAUUACUGGGCGUAAAGCGCGCGCAGGCGGUUCUUUAAGUCAGGGGUGAAAGCCCAGAGCUCAACUCUGGAAUUGCCUUUGAAACUAGAGAACUUGGGUACGGGAGAGGUGAGUGGAAUUCCGGAGUGUAGAGGUGAAAUUCGUAGAUAUUACGGAAAGAACACCAGUGGCGAAGGCGGCUCA